rnacentral:rRNA from 1 species
UACGUAGGGGGCAAGCGUUGUCCGGAAUUAUUGGGCGUAAAGAGCGUGCAGGCGGCCAGAUAAGUCCGCUGUGAAAUCUCGAGGCUCAACUUCGAGCUGUCGGUGGAAACUAUCUGGCUAGAGUCCGGAAGAGGCGAGUGGAAUUCCUGGUGUAGCGGUGAAAUGCGCAGAUAUCAGGAGGAACACCAAUGGCGAAGGCAGCUCGCUGGGACGGUACUGACGCUGAGACGCGAAAGCGUGGGGAGCAAACAGG